rnacentral:rRNA from 1 species
UGAGUAACGCGUGGGAAUCUACCCAUCUCUACGGAAUAACGUGGAAACGUGUGCUAUACCGUAUACGCCCUUCGGGGGAAAGAUUUAUCGGAAUGGAUGAGCCCGCGUUGGAUUACUAGUUGGUGGGGUAAAGGCCUACCAAGGGACAUCCAUAGCUGGUCUGAGAGGAUGAUCAGCACACUGGGACUGAACGGCCAGACUCCUACGGGAGGCAGGGGAAUAUUGACAAUGGGCGCAAGCCUGAUCCAGCUGCCGCGUGUGUGAUGAAGGCCCUAGGUUGUAAAGCACUUUCACCGGAAAGAUAAUGACGUAUCCGGAAAGAAGCCCCGGC